rnacentral:rRNA from 1 species
AUUGAACGCUGGCGGCAGGCCUAACACAUGCAAGUCGAGCGGAUGAGAAGAGCUUGCUCUUCGAUUCAGCGGCGGACGGGUGAGUAAUGCCUAGGAAUCUGCCUGAUAGUGGGGGACAACGUUUCGAAAGGAACGCUAAUACCGCAUACGUCCUACGAGAGAAAGCAGGGGACCUUCGGGCCUUGCGCUAUCAGAUGGGCCUAGGUCGGAUUAGCUUGUUGGUGAGGUAAUGGCUCACCAAGGCGACGAUCCGUAACUGGUCUGAGAGGAUGAUCAGUCACACUGGAACUGAGACACGGUCCAGACUCCUACGGGAGGCAGCAGUGGGGAAUAUUGGACAAUGGGCGAAAGCCUGAUCUAGCCAUGCCGCGUGUGUGAAGAAGGUCUUCGGAUUGUAAAGCACUUUAAGUUGGGAGGAAGGGCAGCCAGCGAAUACCUGGUUGUUUUGACGUUACCGACAGAAUAAGCACCGGCUAACUCUGUGCCAGCCGCCGCAGUAA